GAUCCUUUUCAUUUAAAUCUCACCAUGUUUAAUAACGACUGUACUAUAUCAGUUGAAUUGUUGCUUAGCAUUCUUAGAGGGACUUUUGGUGACUAACCCAAGGAAGUUGGCAGCAAUAAUCGGUCUGUGAUGCCCUUAGAUAUCCUAGGCUAGAUGUGCGUCAAUUGUUAAGUAAAA
rnacentral:rRNA from 1 species